ACAGCACUUCUUUCUGGGGAUUUGAGAAACAAGAGCGAUAUGGGAAUUAAUCGAGCGACAGUAGGGCUUGUUCAUCACUCCGAUCCCUCGCUCCAAAUUGGCGCACAAAUCCUGCAUCAUUCGAGCCCGUUUCUGCUCCAUCUUUUCGUUUUUGUUCUUCAGGCGAAGUACGAUCACAUUGGUUAUCAAUGGAGCUUAUCAAUGUAAUAGAACAAAGGUUGAUGGCCAUGAGCUCAGGAGUAUGUUUCUUCUAAGUAUGAUCAACCAGGUAUGAGACACGCACAUAAGAAAAGUUGGAAGUAUGUAAGUGGUAGACAUAACGGAAUCAAAUCAUAAAGGAUAUGAGGUGAUUUUAUUGGUAUAUGGUGAGUUUUAUUUUCCUUUGAAGUAAAAUGUAUAUAUAUUUAUGGCCUUCCUUCAUAAGAGGCUGUUGCUGCAUAUCAUGAGCCUUUUAACAUUAUUUAACAUUAUUUAAAAGUAUACCAUUGAGGAAGCGAUGCAGGGGCAGAAUCUGGAUAUGUUCGUGGACGCUCUGUUAUUGAAUCCUUCACUUCAUGUUCUUCGUAGUGGCAGUGAAGACGCAAGAACAGCAUUGCAUCAAGUAGGGUCUGCCCACUUUGCAUUUGAUUCAGGGCCUAGCAUCUUCGAUGGCAUUCGUUCCUUUCUCCAAUCGAUGUGGGACCCUCCAGUCCACCCCCUUUAGGGCCCAACAUCUUUGCUGGCACACUACCUCAUGUCCACCUUCCCUUUGGGGCUCAACC